AGACCACCCACUUUGUUGCAUGC
rnacentral:siRNA from 1 species